rnacentral:tRNA from 1 species
GGGGAUUUAGCUCAGUUGUAGAGCGCUUGCCUAGCAAGCACAAGGUCCUGGGUUCGGUCCCCAGCUCCG